GACAACGCUGGCGGCGUGCUUAAUACAUGCAAGUCGAACGGAGCCUAGCCGGUAGUUUACUACAGGCGAAAGCUUAGUGGCGGACGGGUGAGUAACGCGUGGGCAAUCUGCCCCUAAGUCCGGGAUAACAGAGCGAAAGUUCUGCUAAGACCGGAUACUCUUCCUUGGUCGCAUGGCGGAGGAAGGAAAGGAUACGCUUAGGGAUGAGCCCGCGUCCCAUUAGCUAGUUGGUGAGAUAACGGCCCACCAAGGCGACGAUGGGUAGCCGGCCUGAGAGGGUGGACGGCCACACUGGGACUGAGACACGGCCCAGACUCCUACGGGAGGCAGCAGUAGGGAAUUUUCCGCAAUGGGGGAAACCCUGACGGAGCAACGCCGCGUGAGGGAAGAAGGCCUUCGGGUCGUAAACCUUUGUCAUCGAGGACGAUAAUGACGGUACUCGAGGAGGAAGCCCCGGCUAACUACGUG
rnacentral:rRNA from 1 species